UGCGGCUGGAUCCCCUCCUUUCUGGAGCAUCGAGUAGGCCCGCCCGGCUGGGGGUCGAAAGAUCUCGAGAUUCGCCCGCACUUCGGCCCUCUGGUUCACGUCAUUUGUCUUUCGCUCUUUGACAAAUGAGAUGAUGGAUGUGCUGCGCAUGGCCGCAAGGCGUGCGCAGGGUGUGAGGAAUCAACACCGAACACAAACGAAUUGAGAUCAAACGCAAUAAGGCACACGGUGGAUGCCUUGGCA
rnacentral:misc_RNA from 1 species